rnacentral:siRNA from 1 species
UGACACGUCGUUUCAGUCCGCUA